GAUUAACGCUGGCGGCGUGCAUAACACAUUCAAGUCGAACGGUGACGAGACCUUCGGGUCUCUGAUCAGUGGCGGACGGGUGAGUAACGCGUGAGCAAUCUACCUCUUGGUGGGGGAUAACAACCGGAAACAGUUGCUAAUACCCCAUGAAACAGCAGUGCUGCAUGGUACAACUGUCAAAGAUUUAUUGCCAAGAGAUGAGCUUGCGUCUGAUUAGCUAGUUGGUGAGGUAACGGCCCACCAAGGCGACGAUCGGUAGCCGGACUGAGAGGUUGAACGGCCACAUUGGAACUGAGAUACGGUCCAGACUCCUACGGGAGGCAGCAGUGGGGAAUAUUGGGCAAUGGGCGAAAGCCUGACCCAGCGACGCCGCGUGAGGGAAGAAGAUCUUCGGAUUGUAAACCUUAGUCAACAGGGAAGAAGAAAGUGACGGUACCUGUGGAGGAAGCCACGGCUAACUACGUGCCAGCCGCCGCCGUAAUAC
rnacentral:rRNA from 1 species